rnacentral:rRNA from 1 species
UACGGAGGGAGCUAGCGUUGUUCGGAAUUACUGGGCGUAAAGCGCACGUAGGCGGCGAUUCAAGUCAGAGGUGAAAGCCCAGGGCUCAACCUUGGAACUGCCUUUGAUACUGGCUAUCUUGAGUAUGGGAGAGGUGAGUGGAACUCCGAGUGUAGAGGUGAAAUUCGUAGAUAUUCGGAAGAACACCAGUGGCGAAGGCGACUCACUGGGCCCAUUACUGACGCUGAGGCUCGAAAGCGUGGGGAGCAAACAGG